rnacentral:rRNA from 1 species
UACAGAGGGGGCAAGCGCUGUUCGGAAUUACUGGGCGUAAAGGGCGCGUAGGCGGCCUUCUAAGUCGUACGUGAAAUCCCCGGGCUCAACCCGGGAACUGCGUCCGAUACUGGAAGGCUUGAAUCCGGGAGAGGGAUGCGGAAUUCCAGGUGUAGCGGUGAAAUGCGUAGAUAUCUGGAGGAACACCGGUGGCGAAGGCGGCAUCCUGGACCGGCAUUGACGCUGAGGCGCGAAAGCCAGGGGAGCAAACGGG